UAGGAGUGAAAGGCUAAUCAAGGCGGGUGAUAGCUGGUUCUCCUCGAAAGCUAUUGAGGUAGCGCCUCGCGUCUAACUCAGGGGGGUAGAGCACUGUUACGGCUAGGGGGGACAUAAGUCCUUACCAAACCGUUGCAAACUCCGAAUACCCUGAAGUUCAAUCGCGGGAGACACACGGUGGGAGCUAAAUUUCAUCGUGAAGAGGGAAACAACCCAGACCGCCAGCUAAGGUCCCUAAAUCAUCGCUAAGUGGUCAACGAUGUGGAAAGUCAUAGACAGCCAGGAGGUUGGCUUAGAAGCAGCCAUCAUUUAAAGAAAGCGUAAUAGCUCACUGAUCGAGUCGUCCUGCGCGGAAGAUGUAACGGGGCUAAGCAGAUAACCGAAGCUGCGGAUGUACACGUAAGUGUAUGUGGUAGGGGAGCGUUCUGUAAGCCUGCGAAGGUGUGUUGUAAAGCAUGCUGGAGGUAUCAGAAGUGCGAAUGCUGACAUGAGUAGCGA
rnacentral:rRNA from 14 species